rnacentral:lncRNA from 1 species
CAGCAAUGCCGCCGGGGAUUCUGGUGAUGCUGAGCAGUGGGGAGCCGGCGCCACAUCCCUGCUGGUUUCCAGUGGGAGCCCACCACAGACUACUGCGGCCAUGAGGGUUGCUGGAGCACAGUCAUGUGUCAGCUCUGGGAAAACUCCUCUUGCUUUCUCCAUGGCAGGGAUAUAUAUAUAUAUUUUUUCAAAUAAAAUCAGAAGAAAAAAACCCACAACAAAAACAAACAAACAAAACCCAAUACAACAAAAAAAAACCAAAAUGCAUCAGGGGUUGAAAAUGACCCAGCUGAAAUAGUAUAAUUGGAUUUGGAAAUGGAAAGCCUGUUUCAGAAGAAAAUUCCUGGGAUGCUUGUUUUUAAAGUGAUAGCAGCAACCUCAAGAAAACAACAAAGCAUCUGCUAGAAAAUGAAGGGUAAUAUAAGGUCUGACCUCAGGACUCACCUCAGGACAACAGAGCUUAGUACAGUUCUGUUGCCCUGCAAAUACCUCACGUCACUGAGAGCAAAAUCACGUUCAGGACAACAAAAUCAAGACCCAACACAUUGGGACUACAGUCCCACAGAGUUGUGGGAGAAAAAGAAGAGCUCUGCCCGUGUGAUCUCCUGCACCUCUGGCCAGCAAGGAGGGGUAUAGAGGUAUUGCUUCCCUUUUCUUUCCAUGCAACAUGAAAACCAAGGAGGAGAAGGGGGACUGAGUUCCUAAUGUGCCCAAGGCAGAGAAAGCUAUUUAGUGCUCGUCUGUAUGUAACUGGGUUUGCCAACAUGGCUUUAGCCAGUGGGGCUAUUUCUGUACAUGUGAAAGUGCAAAACCUAAUUUAGAUGGGCGAAUGAAAUUUCCUUGUUGGUAUAGCUUAGAUCAGUUCUCAGAAUAGAAUAAAGGACUUAGGUCAGUAUAAAUGCUUCUUCA